rnacentral:rRNA from 1 species
GACGAACGCUGGCGGCGUGCUUAACACAUGCAAGUCGAACGGAAAGGCCCUGCUUUUGUGGGGUGCUCGAGUGGCGAACGGGUGAGUAACACGUGAGUAACCUGCCCUUGACUUUGGGAUAACUUCAGGAAACUGGGGCUAAUACCGGAUAGGAGCUCCUGCUGCAUGGUGGGGGUUGGAAAGUUUCGGCGGUUGGGGAUGGACUCGCGGCUUAUCAGCUUGUUGGUGGGGUAGUGGCUUACCAAGGCUUUGACGGGUAGCCGGCCUGAGAGGGUGACCGGCCACAUUGGGACUGAGAUACGGCCCAGACUCCUACGGGAGGCAGCAGUGGGGAAUAUUGCACAAUGGGCGGAAGCCUGAUGCAGCAACGCCGCGUGCGGGAUGACGGCCUCCGGGUUGUAAACCGCUUUCGCCUGUGACGAAGCGUGAGUGACGGUAAUGGGCAAAGAAGCACCGGUUAACUACGUG